GAUGAACGCUGGCGGCGUGCCUAAUACAUGCAAGUCGAGCGAACAGACGAGGAGCUUGCUCCUCUGACGUUAGCGGCGGACGGGUGAGUAACACGUGGAUAACCUACCUAUAAGACUGGGAUAACUUCGGGAAACCGGAGCUAAUACCGGAUAAUAUAUUGAACCGCAUGGUUCAAUAGUGAAAGACGGUUUUGCUGUCACUUAUAGAUGGAUCCGCGCCGCAUUAGCUAGUUGGUAAGGUAACGGCUUACCAAGGCAACGAUGCGUAGCCGACCUGAGAGGGUGAUCGGCCACACUGGAACUGAGACACGGUCCAGACUCCUACGGGAGGCAGCAGUAGGGAAUCUUCCGAAAUGGGCGAAAGCCUGAAGGAGCAACGCCGCGUGAGUGAUGAAGGUCUUCGGAUCGUAAAACUCUGUUAUUAGGGAAGAACAAAUGUGUAAGUAACUAUGCACGUCUUGACGGUACCUAAUCAGAAAGCCACGGCUAACUACGUG
rnacentral:rRNA from 1 species